rnacentral:rRNA from 1 species
AAUGAACGCUGGCGGCGUGCUUAACACAUGCAAGUCGCACGAGAACGCUUCAGCUUGCUGGAGCUAGUAAAGUGGCGCACGGGUGAGUAACGCGUGGGUAAUCUACCUCCGAAUUGGGGAUAACACUGCGAAAGCGGUGCUAAUACCGAAUGAUAUCUCAGGGACCUCGGUCUCUAAGAUCAAAGGUGGCCUCUACAUGUAAGCUACUGUUUGGAGAUGAGCCCGCGUACCAUUAGCUAGUUGGUAGGGUAAUGGCCUACCAAGGCUUCGAUGGUUAGCUGGUCUGAGAGGAUGAUCAGCCACACUGGAACUGACACACGGUCCAGACUCCUACGGGAGCAG